UACGUAGGGUGCGAGCGUUGUCCGGAAUUAUUGGGCGUAAAGAGCUUGUAGGCGGUUUGUCGCGUCUGCUGUGAAAUCUCAAGGCUCAACCUUGAGCUUGCAGUGGGUACGGGCAGACUAGAGUGUGGUAGGGGAGACUGGAAUUCCUGGUGUAGCGGUGAAAUGCGUAGAUAUCGGGAGGAACACCAGUGGCGAAGGCGGCUUCCUGGCCUGUUCUUGACGCUGAGGCGCGAAAGCUAGGGGAGCAAACGGG
rnacentral:rRNA from 1 species